rnacentral:rRNA from 1 species
CUGAAUAACUGAAUUGAUUGCUUCUGGCUUGCGCCAGGUAUGUAUCUUUCGUGUGCCUGCCUUAUCAACUUUCGAUGGUAAUUCAUGCACCUACCAUGGAUGUAACGGGUAACAGAUAAGUAUGGAUCCACUCCAGAGAGGGAGCCUGACAAACACCUACUACUUCGAAGGAAGGCAGCACGCGCACUAAUUACCCAUUCUCGGAGCAAGGAGGGACUGACAAAAAAUAACCAGACCGCUUUCUACAGACAGCCUCCAUCUGAAUGAGAACAACAUACAUCCUUUAACAACGACCUAACGGAGGGUAUGGCUGGUGCCACCAGCCGCAGUACUUCUAGCUCCGCGUAUGUAUAUCUAUGCUGCUGCAAUUAGCUCG